CCUACGGGAGGCAGCAGUGAGGAAUAUUGGUCAAUGGGCGCGAGCCUGAACCAGCCAAGUAGCGUGAAGGAUGACUGCCCUACGGGUUGUAAACUUCUUUUAUAAAGGAAUAAAGUGAGGCACGUAUGCCUUUUUGUAUGUACUUUAUGAAUAAGGAUCGGCUAACUCCGUGCCAGCAGCCGCGGUAAUACGGAGGAUCCGAGCCUUAUCCGGAUUUAUUGGGUUUAAAGGGAGCGUAGAUGGGUUGUUAAGUCAGUUGUGAAAUUUUACGGCUCAACCGUAAAAUUGCAAUUGAUACUGGCAGUCUUGAGUACAGUUGAGGUAGGCGGAAUUCGUGGUGUAGCAGUGAAAUGCUUAGAUAUGAAGAAGAACUCCGAUGGCGAAGGCAGCUUACUAAACUGCCACUGACAUUGAUGCUCGAAAGUGUGGGUAGCAAACAGGAUUAGAUACCCCAGUAGUC
rnacentral:rRNA from 1 species